rnacentral:lncRNA from 1 species
UUCUUUGCCCCACAUGUGGUCAUUGUGCUUAUACACUCUAUUAGAGAGGUCAAAAGAUGUCUCAUUACUGAAAAUUAAUUUUUCAGUGAAAGCCUUUUCUUCAAAUCAUUCCUGCAUUUCCAUGCAGAAGCAUGACUGCACAGCCCUGCCAUUAUUUGUUAUUGCUUGGAAUAGUUGCAGUUUAUAUGGCUUAAUCUUAAGACAUUUACAGAGAAUGUGCCACACACUAUUUGUGACAUAUCCAAAUUCUGACUGGCUCAAGAAAUGAACUUAUGAGGGCUCCACAUAAACACCUCCUGAACUUGUUCAACUAUUUGUUCAGACAGCCUUAACUUAGUAUUUUUUCUUACAUAGGCAUCCAUCUGUCUGGAAGUGCUUGUACCACUUCCUGAAGCUCUUCUUAUAUGCAUCCUUGACCACCUGUGUUCAGGAAUCAUCACUGAACAGUGAUUAGCAAUUGUGUUUGUGAAAACCCCAAAAUACAGAAUGUCUUUUCCUUGGGAGUGCUAUUUUUUCUGUCUAUACUAGUAUCUCCUUCAAGCUAAAGUACAUAAUUGCUGCAUACAUUCAAAAAGUUAAACAAUUUCUCUUCCCAUCAAUGUUACCUACAUUGUCCAGCAUGAUAUAAC